UGCCGCCCCCACCUUCUCCUUCCUCUCCCAAGGGAAGGGAAGCAAGGGAACAGAAGGGAGGGAAAGCCGGCAAGGAGUUCGGUCGAGCGCCCAGAUCCACGCCGCCAUCAUCGACCUGAUCCGUGUCCUCGACCUCGCCGCCGCCAACAAGUCCGCCAACGAGCUCUCCUCGCACCAGCGCAAGGUCUUUCGCGUCGCUGACCACGCCGGGGUCGCGCUCGCCGGCCUCACCGCCGACGGCCGCAUCCUCUCCCGCUUCUUCCGCAACGAGUGCAUCAACCACGCCUUCAUAUACGACGCGCUGCUCCCCAUCUCCAGGCUCGCGCUCCGCCUCGCCGACAAGGCUCAGGUAGCAGCUGAUUGGCAGUGGACAGGGCAAGAUGUAUGGCGGCAACCCUGCAGGUGUGGAUAACACUUUCCGUAGGAAAUUUGACAAGGAGUACUUGGAGCGAGCUCGACAGAGAGAGAGGGAUGAGAAGGUCCUCCAUGAUGUCCUACUGUUUUAUUGCGUAAUUCAAUUGCGACUGUGCUGUUUGAUACUACUUGCCUCAUCUAUUUUUCAUGUCUUGUGUGAAAUCUGUACCCUA